rnacentral:rRNA from 1 species
AUGAACGCUGGCGGCGUGCCUAAUACAUGCAAGUCGAGCGAACAGACGAGGAGCUUGCUCCUCUGACGUUAGCGGCGGACGGGUGAGUAACACGUGGAUAACCUACCUAUAAGACUGGGAUAACUUCGGGAAACCGGAGCUAAUACCGGAUAAUAUAUUGAACCGCAUGGUUCAAUAGUGAAAGACGGUUUUGCUGUCACUUAUAGAUGGAUCCACGCCGCAUUAGCUAGUUGGUAAGGUAACGGCUUACCAAGGCAACGAUGCGUAGCCGACCUGAGAGGGUGAUCGGCCACACUGGAACUGAGACACGGUCCAGACUCCUACGGGAGGCAGCAGUAGGGAAUCUUCCGCAAUGGGCGAAAGCUUGACGGAGCAACGCCGCGUGAGUGAUGAAGGUCUUCGGAUCGUCAAACUCUGUUAUUAGGGAAGAACAAAUGUGUAAGUAACUAUGCACGUCUUGACGGUACCUAAUCAGAAAGCCACGGCUAACUACGUG